AGGUGUAAAGCAUGUGGCUGGAGAUAUGUUCAAAUCGAUCCCAAAUGCCCAAACAAUUUUAUUGCAGGUAUCCUUUUAUUCAUGCAUUCUUGGGGUUAUAUGGUAAUUCAAAUUAGAGGGCAGGCAAGGGAAAUAAGAAUGAUGUCUUGGGAAUU